rnacentral:rRNA from 1 species
GGAAUAUUGGUCAAUGGGCGCAAGCCUGAACCAGCCAUGCCGCGUGCAGGAAGAAUGCCCUAUGGGUUGUAAACUGCUUUUAUUUAGGAAUAAACCUUUCUACGUGUAGAAAGCUGAAGGUACUGAAUGAAUAAGCACCGGCUAACUCCGUGCCAGCAGCCGCGGUAAUACGGAGGGUGCAAGCGUUAUCCGGAAUCAUUGGGUUUAAAGGGUCCGCAGGCGGGCGUAUAAGUCAGUGGUGAAAUCCUGCAGCUUAACUGCAGAACUGCCAUUGAUACUGUACGUCUCGAAUUCGGUCGAAGUGGGCGGAAUGUGUAGUGUAGCGGUGAAAUGCAUAGAUAUUACACAGAACACCGAUAGCGAAGGCAGCUCACUAGGCCUGGAUUGACGCUCAGGGACGAAAGCGUGGGGAUCAAACAGGAUUAGAUACCCUGGUAGUCCACGCUGUAAACGAUGAUUACUCGUUUUCGGCGAUAUACUGUCGGAGACUAAGCGAAAGUGAUAAGUAAUCCACCUGGGGAGUACGAUCGCAAGGUUGAAACUCAAAUGAAUUGACGG